rnacentral:rRNA from 1 species
GACGAACGCUGGCGGCGUGCUUAACACAUGCAAGUCGAACGGAAAGGCCCUGCUUUUUUGUGGUGCUCGAGUGGCGAACGGGUGAGUAACACGUGAGUAACCUGCCCUUUACUUUGGGAUAACUUCAGGAAACUGGGGCUAAUACCGGAUAGGAGCUCCUGCUGCAUGGUGGGGGUUGGAAAGUUUCGGCUGUUGGGGAUGGACUCGCGGCUUAUCAGCUUGUUGGUGGGGUAGUGGCUUACCAAGGCUUUGACGGGUAGCCGGCCUGAGAGGGUGAACGGCCACAUUGGGACUGAGAUACGGACCAGACUGCAACGGGAGGCAGCAGUGGGGAAUAUUGCACAAUGGGCGGAAGCCUGAUGCAGCAACGCCGCGUGCGGGAUGACGGCCUUCGGGUUGUAAACCGCUUUAGCUUGUGACGAAGCGUGAGUGACGGUAAUGGGUAAAGAAGCACCGGCUAACUACGUG